rnacentral:rRNA from 1 species
UACGUAGGGUGCAAGCGUUGUCCGGAAUUAUUGGGCGUAAAGAGCUCGUAGGCGGCUUGCCGCGUCGGCUGUGAAAACCUGGGGCUCAACCCCGGGCCUGCAGCCGAUACGGGCAAGCUAGAAUUCGGUAGGGGAGACCGGAAUUCCUGGUGUAGCGGUGAAAUGCGCAGAUAUCAGGAGGAACACCGGUGGCGAAGGCGGGUCUCUGGGCCGAUAUUGACGCUGAGGAGCGAAAGCGUGGGGAGCAAACAGG